rnacentral:rRNA from 1 species
CCUGAGAAACCCAAAAGAUCGAAUGGGGAGAUUCAUCGUCAGCUCAUUUUGUAUAUAUGCAAGCGAUGAUAUGGGUUACUACUUGUAGUAUUGCUUGUACAUUCUUGUAUAUUUAUUUGCAAGAUGUUGUCGGCGUGCACUUCUCCCCUAGUAGGACGUCGCGACCCGUUGAGUGUCGGUCUACGGCCCAAGUGGGAGCUUUUAAUAAAUUUUAUUUAUUGAAAACCCUUGGUGUUUCCCGACUGGCACUCGUCGGUAUUCGUAUGGUAUUGAGCCGCAUAUUAUAUGCGUCCAUAUCCGUCGCAAGCGCGGUUAGUUACUGAUAGUGCGGACUUUGUGCCGUCGUUGGUGCUGACCAGCUGUUGGUUGUAUGGAAUUCUAGGACUGGCUCGUUGAAAUACCGGUCAGCGAUGCUACUGCUUUGGG